ACUGUGGUAAUUCUAGAGCUAAUACAUGCACCAAAGCUCUGAUUAGUGGACGAGCGCAUCUAUUAGUUUAAAACCAACCGGGCUUCGGCCCGUUCAUUGGUGAUGCUAAAUAGUUUUUGCUGAUCGCACGGUCUUGUACCGGCGACGUAUCUAUCAAGUGUCUGCCUUAUCAACUUUCGAUGGUAGUUUAUGUGACUACCAUGGUUGUAACGGGUAACGGAGAAUAAGGGUUCGACUCCGGAGAGGGAGCCUGAGAAACGGCUACCACAUCCAAGGAAGGCAGCAGGCGCGCAAAUUACCCACUCUCAGCACGAGGAGGUAGUGACGAAAAAUAACGAGACCGUUCUUUAUAAGGCCGGUUAUCGGAAUGAGUACAAUUUAAAACUGUUAACGAGGAUCUAUGAGAGGGCAAGUCUGGUGCCAGCAGCCGCGGUAAUUCCAGCUCUCAAAGUGUAUAUCGUCAUUGCUGCGGUUAAAAAGCUCGUAGUUGGAUCUUCGCUUGAGCACCCGGUCUGUCCGAUUGGAUAUGAACUGGGUUUGCUCGGCUUGUUUAGCUGGUUUUCUUUAUGUUACCUUAAUUGGUUGCAUAAGGUGGCUAGCAAGUUUACCUUGAAAAAAUUAGAGUGCUUAAAGCGGGCAUACGCUUGUAUAUUCUUGCAUGGAAUAAUAAAAUAGGAUCUCGGUUCUAUUUUGUUGGUUUUCUGAUCUGAGAUAAUGGUUAAGAGGGACAGACGGGGCAUUCGUAUCGCUGCGUGAGAGGUGAAAUUCUUGGACCGUAGCGAGACGCCCGACUGCGAAAGCAUUUGCCAAGAAUGUCUUCAUUAAUCAAGAACGAAAGUCAGAGGUUCGAAGGCGAUCAGAAUACC
rnacentral:rRNA from 1 species